rnacentral:RNase_P_RNA from 1 species
GCCGGAUAAUCGCGCCCAAAAGGGUGAGGAAAGUCCGUGCAUCCAAGGACAGCUCGCCGGAGAAACUCCGGACGGCGUGAGCCGGUGGAUAGGACCACAGAAAGACACUGCCGAUGGAUUUUAAUCACAGGCAAAGGUGCAAUGGCGAGGUAAGAGCUCACCGUCGAUAUCGAGAGGUAUCGGUUCAGGCAACCCCCGAGUGGAUGCAAGAUUGAAUCAAGCGUUAGAGGUGUCCGCCGAGCUUGAAAAAUCGCUCGAGAUUAGGAGUAAUCCUAAUACCAGACAGAUGAUUAUCAAGGGGUAUAUUUACCCUAAACAGAACACGGCUUAUGAGCUGCUUU